rnacentral:rRNA from 1 species
CCUACGGGAGGCAGCAGUGAGGAAUAUUGGUCAAUGGGCGCGAGCCUGAACCAGCCAAGUAGCGUGAAGGAUGACUGCCCUACGGGUUGUAAACUUCUUUUAUAAAGGAAUAAAGUGAGGCACGUGUGCCUUUUUGGAUGUACUGUAUGAAUAAGGAGCGGCUAACUCCGUGCCAGCAGCCGCGGUAAUACGGAGGAUCCGAGCGUUAUCCGGAUGUAUUGGGUUUAAAGGGAGCGUAGAGGGGUUGUGAAGUCAGUUGUGCAAGUUUGCGGCUCAACCGUAAAAUUGCAAUUGAUACGGGCAGUCUUGAGUACAGUUGCGGUAGGCGGACUUCGUGGUGUAGC